rnacentral:rRNA from 1 species
UGGGGAAUCUUGCGCAAUGCGCUUAAGCGUGACGCAGCAACGCCGCGUGGGCGAAGAAGGCCUUCGGGUUGUAAAGCCCUUUCAGUUGGGACGAAGCUUUGCCGGUGAAUAGCCGGUUGGAGUGACGGUACCUUCAGAAGAAGCCCCGGCUAACUACGUGCCAGCAGCCGCGGUAAUACGUAGGGGGCAAGCGUUGUCCGGAAUCAUUGGGCGUAAAGCGCGUGUAGGCGGUUUGGUAAGUCUGCUGUGAAAGUCCAGGGCUCAACCCUGGAAUGCCGGUGGAUACUGUCGAACUAGAGUCCGGAAGAGGCGAGUGGAAUUCCUGGUGUAGCGGUGGAAUGCGCAGAUAUCAGGAGGAACACCAAUGGCGAAGGCAGCUCGCUGGGACGGUACUGACGCUGAGACGCGAAAGCGUGGGGAGCAAACAGGAUUAGGUACCCUGGUAGUCCACGCCGUAAACGAUGGGCACUAGGUGUGGGGGGUGUCGACUCCCUCCGUGCCGACGCUAACGCAUUAAGUGCCCCGCCUGGGGAGUACGGCCGUAAGGCUA